rnacentral:rRNA from 1 species
GUAGGGUGCAAGCGUUGUCCGGAAUUACUGGGUGUAAAGGGUCCGCAGGCGGGCAGACAAGUCGGUGGUGAAAGCUCUUCGCUCAACGGAGAGACUGCCAUCGAUACUGUUUGUCUUGAGUUCGAGAGAGGAUAAUGGAAUUCAUGGUGUAGCGGUGAAAUGCGUAGAGAUCAUGAAGAACACCGGUAGCGAAGGCGGUUAUCUGGCUCGAUACUGACGCUCAGGGACGAAAGCGUGGGUAGCAAACAGGAUUAGAUACCCUGGUAGUCCACGCCUUAAACGAUGGAUAUUCGGUGUCAGUCCGCAAGGAUUGGUGCCUGAGCCAACGCGUUAAAUAUCCCACCUGGGGAGUACGAUCGCAAGGUUG